rnacentral:rRNA from 1 species
GACGAACGCUGGCGGCGUGCCUAAUACAUGCAAGUCGAACGAGAGCGACCGGUGCUUGCACUGGUCAAUCUAGUGGCGAACGGGUGAGUAACACGUGGGUAACCUGCCCAUCAGAGGGGGAUAACAUUCGGAAACGGAUGCUAAAACCGCAUAGGUCUUCGAACCGCAUGGUUUGAAGAGGAAAAGAGGCGCAAGCUUCUGCUGAUGGAUGGACCCGCGGUGCAUUAGCUAGUUGGUGAGGUAACGGCUCACCAAGGCCGUGAUGCAUAGCCGACCUGAGAGGGUGAUCGGCCACAUUGGGACUGAGACACGGCCCAAACUCCUACGGGAGGCAGCAGUAGGGAAUCUUCCGCAAUGGACGCAAGUCUGACGGAGCAACGCCGCGUGAGUGAAGAAGGUUUUCGGAUCGUAAAACUCUGUUGUUAGAGAAGAACAAGUGCUAGAGUAACUGUUAGCGCCUUGACGGUAUCUAACCAGAAAGCCACGGCUAACUACGUA